GCUCCUUGAUUUCAGCGGCGGACGGGUGAGUAAUGCCUAGGAAUCUGCCUGGUAGUGGGGGACAACGUUUCGAAAGGAACGCUAAUACCGCAUACGUCCUACGGGAGAAAGCAGGGGACCUUCGGGCCUUGCGCUAUCAGAUGAGCCUAGGUCGGAUUAGCUUGUUGGUGAGGUAAUGGCUCACCAAGGCGACGAUCCGUAACUGGUCUGAGAGGAUGAUCAGUCACACUGGAACUGAGACACGGUCCAGACUCCUACGGGAGGCAGCAGUGGGGAAUAUUGGACAAUGGGCGAAAGCCUGAUCCAGCCAUGCCGCGUGUGUGAAGAAGGUCUUCGGAUUGUAAAGCACUUUAAGUUGGGAGGAAGGGCAGUAAGUUAAUACCUUGCUGUUUUGACGUUACCGACAGAAUAAGCACCGGCUAACUCUGUGCCAGCAGCCGCGGUAAUACAGAGGGUGCAAGCGUUAAUCGGAAUUACUGGGCGUAAAGCGCGCGUAGGUGGUUUGUUAAGUUGGAUGUGAAAGCCCCGGGCUCAACCUGGGAACUGCAUCCAAAACUGGCAAGCUAGAGUACGGUAGAGGGUGGUGGAAUUUCCUGUGUAGCGGUGAAAUGCGUAGAUAUAGGAAGGAACACCAGUGGCGAAGGCGACCACCUGGGACUGAUACUGACACUGAGGUGCGAAAGCGUGGGGAGCAAACAGG
rnacentral:rRNA from 1 species